rnacentral:rRNA from 1 species
GACGAACGCUGGCGGCGUGCUUAACACAUGCAAGUCGAACGACGAAGCCCAGCUUGCUGGGUGGAUUAGUGGCGAACGGGUGAGUAACACGUGGGCAACCUGCCCCAAACUCUGGGAUAACUCCUCGAGAGAGGUGCUAAUACCGGAUACGAACUAGACAGACAUCUGUACUAGUUGGAAAGUUUUUCGGUUUGGGAUGGGCCCGCGGCCUAUCAGCUUGUUGGUGAGGUAACGGCUCACCAAGGCUACGACGGGUAACCGGCCUGAGAGGGCGACCGGUCACACUGGGACUGAGACACGGCCCAGACUCCUACGGGAGGCAGCAGUGGGGAAUAUUGCGCAAUGGGCGAAAGCCUGACGCAGCGACGCCGCGUGAGGGAUGAAGGUCUUCGGAUCGUAAACCUCUUUCAGUAGGGACGAAGCGAAAGUGACGGUACCUAAAGAAGAAGCACCGGCUAACUACGUGCCAGCAGCCGCAGUAA